UGUGACUGGAGUCCGUGUAGGAGGGGUCGGAGGUCCUACCCAACAGAUUGACGCGGCAUUAGUAUUGGCCGUGUAGCCGAAAAACUGAUUGACUGGGCUGAGGUUAACUGCGCGGAGGCAGUUGGCCAUGUUUACAUCAGAGAGAAGACCCCUCCUCGUCCUCAAGGACAGAGACCAGAGCCGGAGAAUAGAGGGGUGAGGAACAUUCUAGGAGAAGCUUCUACAAAUGAGCUGAUGGCUUUAGAAGUUUCCUUCUUAGCCUUACAAUUUUUCUUCUUGAUUAUAAAAGGAAAGGAAAACUUGUAAAAUACAGAAAGGAAAAGAGGGGGAAAAAUCACUUAUAACCACACCAAUCCAGAAGGAUUUCAAGGAUUUGGAUUUGGAGAUGGUGGCUUCCAGAUGUCUUUUGGAAUUGGGGCAUUUCCCUUUGGGAUAUUUGCCACAGCAUUUAAUAUAAACGAUGGGCGGCCUCCUCCAGCUGUCCCUGGGACACCCCAGUAUGUGGACGAGCAGUUCCUGUCACGCCUCUUCCUAUUUGUGGCCCUGGUGAUCAUGUUCUGG
rnacentral:sRNA from 1 species